AACGAACGCUGGCGGCAUGCCUAACACAUGCAAGUCGAACGAUAACUUCGGGUCUAGUGGUGACCGGUUGCGUAACGCGUGGUAACGUGCCCUUAGGUUCGGAAUAGCUCCCCGUAAGGGGUGGUAAUACCUGCUAAUGUCGUCGGUCCAAAGAUUUAUCGCCUUUGGAUGGGCCCGCGAUGGGUUAGCUAGUUGGUAGGGUAACAGCCUACCAAGGCGACGAUCCAUAGCUGGUCUGAGAGGAUGAUCAGCCACACUGGGACUGAGACACGGCCCAGACUCCUACGGGAGGCAGCAGUGGGGAAUAUUGGACAAUGGGCGAAAGCCUGAUCCAGCAAUGCCGCGUGAGUGAUGAAGGCCUUAGGGUUGUAAAGCUCUUUUACCCGGGAUGAUAAUGACAGUACCGGGAGAAUAAGCACCGGCUAACUCCGUG
rnacentral:rRNA from 1 species